AUUCUCAGCUUGCUUGCACUUUACCACCACCUCAAAUUUGCUUCUUAUGAUGCAAAUUUUUUGACUUUGUUCAUGGUUCAUUUGCUUGAUUUCCACUGCCAAGAAAUGUACCACCAAAAAAUUUCAGUUAAAAGAAAUAAAUGAGCCUUUUGAAAUAGCUAUCUCCAUACAACAAUCCUCCAGGAUUUAUGAAUAGAGAGAAAUGAAGUUUGCUAGUCUCACACUGGAGCGUUAUGCUUCGAAUCUAGUUUCUUUUGGACUGUGAACCAGAUAGGAAAAAUAAGACAUAACCUAUUGAACCAAUGGAGAACUUAUAGCUUCUAUGAACCAAUGAUUCAUUUUGUCAGUUAGAGUUAUCGAUAAUCAUAUUAUACCUCCACAAAUUCUGCUUUUCAAUGUGGAUUUGUGUUAAUUGGCCGCGUGUGCACUCAGUAAUCAUGAGUGCUCUAGGAUUCAGCCAUGAAUCUCAUGGGAGCAGCCUCACUUCACACUCAUGCGAGUGACUUCAUCAAGUGCACUCUGUAAAUAAAUACACCACCCAUAAGGGAGAUGAAAUACAUUACCCUAGUAUGCAGUUUAGCGCCAAUAACAUGUCAUUGGUGCUACAGUGUCAACAAGUGACUUAUUAUGAUGAACCUACUUCAUGGGAUCUCCAGUCACAUAGCCAUCAUUGCUGAUGUCAAGGAACCAACUACUGGUAACUUGGUGGAGAAUAUUCUCAUCGUUGAUAAAAUAGUCUUCAAAUGUGGAGUGGAACUAAGCAAUCUGGUACUUAUCUGAGGG